UACGUAGGGUGCGAGCGUUGUCCGGAAUUAUUGGGCGUAAAGAGCUCGUAGGCGGCUUGUCGCGUCGGAUGUGAAAGCCCGGGGCUUAACUCCGGGUCUGCAUUCGAUACGGGCAGGCUAGAGUUCGGUAGGGUAGAUCGGAGUUCCUGGUGUAGCGGUGAAAUGCGCAGAUAUCAGGAGGAACACCGGUGGCGAAGGCGGAUCUCUGGGCCGAUACUGACGCUGAGGAGCGAAAGCGUGGGGAGCGAACAGG
rnacentral:rRNA from 1 species